GUGCUCACUUCAGCAGCACAUAUACUAAAACUGGAACAACACAGAGAUUGGCAUCCUGCACAAAGAAAACACACAAAUUUGUGAAGCAUUUCAUUAAAAAAAAUUUUU